UCUUUUGUAUCGUCUGAGAUCCCCAAAGACUGGAAAGCUGCCGCGGUCAUCCUUCUCUUCAAAGGGGGAGACACUCUAGACACAAACUGUUUCAGACCUAUAUUUAUCAUACCCUGACUUUCUAAGGUCUUCGAAAGCCAAGUUAACAAACAGAUCACCGACCAUUUCGAAUCCCACCGUACCUUCUCCGCUAUGCAAUCUGGUUUCCGAGCUGGUCAUGGGUGCACCUCAGCCACGCUCAAGGUCCUAAACGAUAUCAUAAUUGCCAUCGACAAAAGACGAUACUGUGCAGCCGUAUCCAUCGACCUGGCCAAGGCUUUCGACUCUGUCAAUCACUGCAUUCUUAUCGGCAGACUCAACAGCCUUGGUUUCUCAAAUGACUGCCUCGCCUGGUUCACCAACUACUUCUCAGAUGGAGUUCAGUGUGUCAAAUCAGAGGGCUUGUUGUCCGUAUCUCUGCCAGUCUCUAUGGGGGAGCUGACUCUUUUCUCUGUAUACAUCAAUGAUGUCGCUCUUGCGGCUGGUGAUUCUCUGAUCCACCUCUACGUAGACGACACCAUUCUGUAUACUUCUGGCUCUUCUUUGGACACUGUAUUAACUAACCUCCAGACGAGCUUCAAUGCCAUACAACUCUCCUUCCGUGGCCUCCAACUGCUCUUAAAUGCAAGUAAAACUAAAUGCAUGCUCUUCAACCGAUCGCUGCCCGCAUCUGCCCACCUGCCUAGCAUCACUACUCUGGACGGUUCUGACUUAGAAUAUGUGGACAACUACAAAUACCUAGGUGUCUGGUUAGACUGUAAACUCUCCUUCCAUACUCAUAUUAUGCAUCUCCAAUCCAAAAUUAAAUCUAGAAUUGGCUUCCUAUUUCGCAACAAAGCAUCUUUCACUCAUGCUGCCGAAUAUACCCUCGUAAAACUGACUAUCCUACCGAUCCUUGACUUCGGUGAUGUCAUUUACAAAAUAGCCUCCAACACUCUACUAAGAAAAUUGGAUGCAGUCUAUCUCAGUUCCAUCCAUUUUGUCACCAAAGCCCCAUAUACUACCCACCACUGCGACCUGUACGCUCUCGUUGCCUGGCUCUCACUUCAUAUUCAUCGCCAAACCCACUGGCUCCAGGUCAUCUAUAAGUCUUUGCUAUGUAAAGCACCGCCUUAUCUCAGCUCACUGGUCACCAUAGCAGCACCCACCCGUAGCACGCACUCCAGCAGGUAUAUUUCACUGGUCACCCCCAAAGCCAAUUCCUCCUUUGGCUGCCUUUCCUUGCAGUUCUCUGCUGCCAAUGACUGGAACGAAUUGCAAAAAUCAGUUUAGCCGGAGACUCAUAUCUCCCUCACUAUCUUUAAGCAUCAGCUAUCAGAGCAGCUUACAGAUCAUUGCACCUGUACGUAGCCCAUCUGUAAAUAGCCCAUCCAACUACCUCAUCCCCAUAUUGUUAUUUAUUUUAUUUGUAAUUUAUUUGCUCCUUUGCACCGAAGUAUCUCUACUUGCACAUUCAUCUUCUGCACAUCUCACUCCAGUGUUUAUUUGCGAUAUUGUAAUUAUUUCUCCACAACGGUCUAUUUAUUGCCUUACCUCCCUAAUCUUACUUCAUUUG
rnacentral:lncRNA from 8 species